AAGGAUCAUUAACACGUAUCCACGUAUCAACCCCUCUGUGAAAACGCAAAAGCAGCAAGGUCUGGUCUUAGUGCGUCUGUCUGCUAUGGGUCCUAAUGAUGGGUGACUCUCUCUCUCUCGGGGGGGGAGAGUCACAGGGCUCGGACGGCGUGUGUUUGACGAUCAACCGAUACUUUUCCAUUGUUGGCCUUUACCCAACUUUUUAACCCCUUUGUACUCUUUUGUACUGAACCAUUCUUCGAUGCUCUCCCUCAAAAGAGAGUGACGAAUGAUAUUACGAAACUUAAGAACAACUCUUAGCAACGGAUAUCUUGGUUCCC
rnacentral:misc_RNA from 1 species